rnacentral:rRNA from 1 species
AUGGAGGUUGCCAUUUCUACAGUUGCAAGUGAGCUUGUAAGCCAGUUCAUCUCCCUCCCGAUGAACAAGUAUCACUCCUCCAGCCAUGGACAUUCAGAGGAGAAGGUGGUGGAGAAGUUGCAGCAUCUCCUGAUCAGAGUAGGCACCACCGUUGAUGAAGCGGACGCUCGAUACAUAACCAACUCAGGGAUGAUGAUGCAGCUCAAGAUGCUCUUAGAGGCCAUGUACAGAGGGCACCGUCUGCUUGAUACCUGGAGGUACCGAGCUCUCCAAGACGGUGCAGGCUUUGACGAGGUUAGCAGCAACAACUCAUCUAGCAGCAGUUUGUAUUUAGCCAUUCCACUCAAGCGUUCUCGAACAACAACGGCGAAAGACGACAAGGCCAUUCGCCUCGAGUCACAUGAUGCUUUGGAAAGCUUAGAAAUUGUUGUUGCUAACAUGCCAGAAUUUGUUGUGCUUCUGGGCGGAUGUGAGUGCGUGUCUCGCAGGCCAUAUGACGUUUACCUUUACACCGACAAUUUCAUGUUUGGCCAACACGCUGAAAAGCAAAAGCUCUUGAGCUUCUUGUUGGAGCACAACGAUCCUUUAGGUGAUCACGCAUGGGGCGUCCUUCCGCUCAUAGGUGGUGUUGCAGUUGGGAAGAAAACUUUGGUUGCUCGUGUGUGGCGAUGA